AACUCACCUUCUGUUGCCGACGGGACAUGUCGGUGGGCUGCUUGGCGUUGAACGGUCGACGUGGCCCUGACGUUGCAGACGGUAGCGCGCUCUGAACCACGACUUCAGUGGAAUGUCAGGUUACUGCGGAAAGCAAAGAGAUGAAGGCAAUUUUGGCAUCGUCAAUAAAUCAGUUUCCAUGUUUAGGGGACUGCCAUGGCACAGGAUAUGACACGCGAGGAAACACGGGCUCUCAUUGAGUGGCGGGCAGCAAAUGAGAGUCUUUUUACUGGAAGGAGAAAUUCCUGCAAGACUAGAUGAGAGGACUUUGUUAGCUCUUCAGGCUAUAACAGCAAAACAAGCAAAAAAAGUGGAACAACCUGAAGGCCAAAUACAAGGGACCCAUCUACAGGGAAGGGUGUAGAGGCAGGUAGCCCGACUGCCACCACCUGGCAGCGGUACAAUAUGAUGGAUGCUGUGCUCCAGUGGCAGCGCUCAAAAAGUCUACCAGCAACCUGACUUUCACAACAGGUGAUGCAAUCAGCGCUACACCCUCGACCCCUUCUACAGAAGAGGCCCAGGGACAGCCAGGCUAUCCGUUUUUAAAGGACCAACCAGAAAGAGAGGAAGACAGAGAGAGAGACAGGCUCCGGCUAGGGAGGAAGAGAGGGAGAGGGCAGCUACUCAAAGGGCAGAGUGAUAUCGGUCACUAUUUGAGAAACUUGUUGACAAACUUUAAAUAAAGCACUUUAAAUGUCAAAUGUGAAGUGAGAUUUUUCUGUCAGGGUGAUCUCUUUACUAAAACUUACACUUGUUUAAAUGAUUUGUUUAACAUUUAUAAUAACGUUUACAUUAAAUUCAACAUAUACAAUCAUGAACACAUGAGGUUUAUAAAAAUACACAAAUAUACAAUAAAGAACAAUUAAUGCACACUAUUUACAAUUUGAACAAAUAGAUUCAAUACUCAUACAGCAACACUAAUUAGGAGAAAAAUAUGUAACUUUUUUUUUUUUUAACCAACAGCAGGCUAUUUCUUGCGGCCUUAGCUGCUGUUUGAACAUGACUACAUCAUGCAGGCAGCUGUUCAGAAGACACUUGUGCAGCAAGCCUGGCUCAGACACAGGUUCCUGAAAGCUCCCUGUCUGCACCUGCACCUUCAACUGUUUUGGCUUCUUGUCAUGCUUGUACCGCCUCCUCCUUCUCUCCUUCUUCUUGGUAGACAUAAUGUGUCGCCACACAGAUAUAAUGUGGAGGAUGCAGCAGGCCCCCACAACUUUGGGAGGAAACAGAGGCCGACUCUCAAGGGCUCACAAGA